GCAGAUGAUGAGCUUGACCACUUAUGAAACUAGAUGAUUUAUUAAAGGUAGCCUCUGAU
rnacentral:snoRNA from 1 species